CCUUGAGCUGUGGUGGGCUCCACCCAGUUCGAGCUUCCCUGCUGCUUUGUUUACCUAAGCAAGCCUGGGCAAUGGCGGGCGCCCCUCCCCCAGCCUCGCUGCCGCCUUGCAGUUUGAUCUCAGACUGCUGUGCUAGCAAUCAGCGAGACUCCGUGGGCGUAGGACCCUCUGAACCAGAAUGUGAUUUUGAAGAAAGGAGGAAAGAUGUGAAAAGUGAUUGGUCAGCCACAUUCAUGGUGUUGAGAAAAGAAUUUGCUUUUCUGGAACAUAGCCUGUGAUAGCAGAACAACACCUGGCAAGAAACAGGUUAUGUUUGGCUGGAGAGUCAUUGGCACUAUCAAGAAAUAUUAAAGUGUAGAUUUGAGAGAGGAGGAGAAAGACCCAAGCAAAAUUGAAAACCAGGUGGGACCCAGACAGCAGCAAAGCAAUGGAAGCAUGUAUUUUGGUCAAUAUAGAGUUAAUACACAAUUUUGCCCCUCUUCUUCUGAUCAUGGGACUCAUAUUACCAGUCUUCACAUUUCCUUUAAAUUCAGGAAUCAGGAAGAAUUUCCAGAGUUUGCAGAUGGACACAUUUGCUGCUUCCAUUCUAAACAUAAGUUAGAAGAACCUUUCAACUGGAUUCCAACUUUAAUAUGUCACAAACAUAAAAAAGAAAGCUAUUUCCUGGACUUUUCUUCAUUAGAAAUUAAUAGAUUGUCAAUUGGCAUAGGGAAAAGAUAAUCAACAGAUGCCAACCCCAAGUUAACAGAAAUGCUAAAAUUAUAAGACAAAGACUUCAAAAUAGCUAUUUUAAUUUUGCCUAGUGAGGUAAAUGCAAACAUGCUCACUAUGAA
rnacentral:lncRNA from 1 species